GAUGAACGCUGGCGGCGUGCCUAAUACAUGCAAGUCGAGCGAACAGACGAGGGGCUUGCUCCUCUGACGUUAGCGGCGGACGGGUGAGUAACACGUGGAUAACCUACCUAUAAGACUGGGAUAACUUCGGGAAACCGGAGCUAAUACCGGAUAAUAUAUUGAACCGCAUGGUUCAAUAGUGAAAGACGGUUUUGCUGUCACUUAUAGAUGGAUCCGCGCCGCAUUAGCUAGUUGGUAAGGUAACGGCUUGCCAAGGCGACGAUGCGUAGCCGACCUGAGAGGGUGAUCGGCCACACUGGAACUGAGACACGGUCCAGACUCCUACGGGAGGCAGCAGUAGGGAAUCUUCCGCAAUGGGCGAAAGCCUGACGGAGCAACGCCGCGUGAGUGAUGAAGGUCUUCGGAUCGUAAAACUCUGUUAUUAGGGAAGAACAAAUGUGUAAGUAACUAUGCACGUCUUGACGGUACCUAAUCAGAAAGCCACGGCUAACUACGUG
rnacentral:rRNA from 1 species